rnacentral:rRNA from 1 species
AUGAACGCUGGCGGCGUGCCUAAUACAUGCAAGUCGAGCGCACGGACGAGAAGCUUGCUUCUCUGAUGUUAGCGGCGGACGGGUGAGUAACACGUGGAUAACCUACCUAUAAGACUGGGAUAACUUCGGGAAACCGGAGCUAAUACCGGAUAAUAUUUUGAACCGCAUGGUUCAAAAGUGAAAGACGGUCUUGCUGUCACUUAUAGAUGGAUCCGCGCUGCAUUAGCUAGUUGGUAAGGUAACGGCUUACCAAGGCAACGAUGCAUAGCCGACCUGAGAGGGUGAUCGGCCACACUGGAACUGAGACACGGUCCAGACUCCUACGGGAGGCAGCAGUAGGGAAUCUUCCGCAAUGGGCGAAAGCCUGACGGAGCAACGCCGCGUGAGUGAUGAAGGUCUUCGGAUCGUAAAACUCUGUUACUAGGGAAGAACAUAUGUGUAAGUAACUGUGCACAUCUUGACGGUACCUAAUCAGAAAGCCACGGCUAACUACGUG